AACGCGAAGAACCUUACCUGGGCUUGAACUACUCGUGGUAAGCCGAUGGAAACAUUGGCUGACCCGCAAGGGAGCGAGCAGAGGUGCUGCAUGGUUGUCGUCAGCUCGUGUCGUGAGAUGUUGGGUUAAGUCCCGCAACGAGCGCAACCCCUACUCGAUGUUGCUAAUUCCGUAAGGAAUGCACUCUUCGAGAACUGCCUUCGAUAAGAAGGAGGAAGGUGGGGACGACGUCAAAUCCUCAUGGCCCUUAUGUCCAGGGCUACACACGUGCUACAAUGGCCGGUACAACGGGAAGCAAGGCCGCAAGGCGGAGCAAAACCCUAAAAGCCGGCCCCAGUUCAGAUCGUGGGCUGCAACUCGCCCACGUGAAGGCGGAAUCGCUAGUAAUCGCUGAUCAGCAGGCAGCGGUGAAUACGUUCCCGGGCCUUGUACACACCGCUACAGU
rnacentral:rRNA from 1 species